CGAGUAGGCGGAUAUGAAAGUCAGAUGUGAAAUCUCAGGGCUCAACCCUGAAACAGCGUCUGAAACUCCAAAUCUAGAAUCUCAGAGAGGGAAGGGGAAUUUCGCGUGUAGGAGUAAAAUCCGUAGAGAUGCGAAGGAACACCGGAGGCGAAGGCGCCUUCCUGGAUGAGUAUUGACGCUGAGGCGCGAAAGCGUGGGGAGCAAACA
rnacentral:rRNA from 1 species